rnacentral:rRNA from 1 species
CCUACGGGGGGCUGCAGUAGGGAGUUUUCGGCAAUGGGGGGAACCCUGACCGAGCAAUGCCGCGUGAGCGAAGAAGGUCUUCGGAUUGUAAAGCUCUGUUGUAGGGGAUGAACUGACUAGGAAGGAAAUGUCCUGGUCUUGACAGUACCUUACCAGAAAGCCACGGCUAACUACGUGCCAGCAGCCGCGGUAAUACGUAGGUGGCAAGCGUUAUCCGGAAUUAUUGGGCGUAAAGCGUGAGCAGGCGGCCGUUUAAGUUUGAAGUCAAAUCCAGGGGCUCAACCCCUGUCCGCUUUGAAAACUGGAUGGCUAGAGUACGAGAGAGGUAUGUGGAAUUCCAAGUGUAGCGGUGAAAUGCGUAGAUAUUUGGAGGAACACCAGUGGCGAAGGCGGCAUACUAGCUCGAUACUGACGCUCAGUCACGAAAGCGUGGGGAGCAAAUAGGAUUAGAUACCCCAGUAGUC